CUAUAUGAAAUAUCUACAAGGGCAUUCUCUUCUUCAAAGAGUUCAAUCCAUAUACAAUCAUAAUCGUUAGAUGAUUAAUUGUGUUCGAAUUUAAUCAUAAUUGUUUUUAAAGACAUACAUGUGAUUGGUUGUUAUUUGAUCGACAGUGUAAAACAACUAUUGUUGGGUCAAGGGGGAUUUGAGGAUCGUCACAUUAAAGUUUGAGCAAUAACAUAAAUGAGUUGUACAACGUAUAUCUCCUCUUUGUUGUAAAAAGCUAAGUACGACUUUGACAAUUCUAUUGGAUCUCAUCCCAGCACUCUGUAAUUGUACUUCACAAUCCAACAUCAAAAUAAUUCUUCAAUAAUACAACUCCCGUAAGAAGAAAAAAGUUUGUCAAUAACAAUAUAGAUAGAUUCCUUUGCAACAACAAGAUUACACAAGUUAAGGAUUCUUCUUAUUCAUGAUCAAUAAUAACGAUGUCAUGACAAUAGUAACAUAUAUAGUAAUAGUAGUAAUUAAUUACAACAACCUCGUACACCCCAUCUGAAAAGUUUCCUUCUUUUUUUUUUAAGGAAAAACGUGAAAAAGAAGAGGAUCUACAUGCAUAUACUACUAGCUUAAUUACCUACCAAGUUAUGUGAAGGAUUGAAUUGAAGAUGCGAGAGAGAGCGAGUCUGAUGCGAGGAAAAGUUCGAACGGAGAAGAGAGUGUAAUCUCUUAGGAAGAGUUGGAGAGUGCCAACAAAGAGAUUGAAGCUGCGUAUUGGUGGAAUGUACAAAGUGAGAGGAACAGCGGAAAAAGCCACAGCAAACAUAAGUUGCAGCAUUAUUUUGAUAUUUUCUUUUGUUUGUAUGUGUUUUUUGUGUUGAUGAGAGAGGAGAGUUUAUGGUUAAGAAAUUAAGAUUGGAUUAUGAAUGAAUUUACGAUGAUAGUGAUCAUGGAGACAAAAUUUGAGGGUCUGGUUGGAUCGAUCACUUUUCAAUCCUUGUCUUGUGGAAAAGGGAAGACCGAGCAAUUUAUUUAGGAAAUUGCCAAUCAAACUAAUUAGUUUUAAAUUUUUUAGGUGAAUAUUGUUUGUAGUAAACUAGAGUUUGAUUGGCGUCAUCAAUCA
rnacentral:lncRNA from 1 species